AACGCACGAGACCUGCGGACCUGCGGAAGGAUCAUUAAUGAGAGACUGCCCCUCGCGGGUAGAUCUCCCACCCUUUGUAAACUUACCUUUGUUGCUUUGGCAGGCCCGUCUCCGGACCGCCGGCUUCGGCUGGCCAGUGCCUGCCAGAGGAUUCUAAAACUCUGUCUGUCAGUGUUGUCUGAGUCUAUAUACAAUCGUUAAAACUUUCAACAACGGAUCUCUAGAUCGGAAGAGCACACG
rnacentral:misc_RNA from 1 species